rnacentral:rRNA from 1 species
UACGAAGGGGGCUAGCGUUGCUCGGAAUCACUGGGCGUAAAGGGCGCGUAGGCGGACAGUUUAGUCGGGGGUGAAAGCCCGGGGCUCAACCUCGGAAUUGCCUUCGAUACUGGCUGUCUUGAGUACGGGAGAGGUGUGUGGAACUCCGAGUGUAGAGGUGAAAUUCGUAGAUAUUCGGAAGAACACCAGUGGCGAAGGCGACACACUGGCCCGUUACUGACGCUGAGGCGCGAAAGCGUGGGGAGCAAACAGG